CGGGGCGUAGCGCAGUCUGGUAGCGCACUACACUGGGGGUGUAGUGGUCGUCGGUUCAAAUCCGGCCAUCCCGACCA
rnacentral:tRNA from 1 species